AAGGGAAGCUUUAAGAAAUAUUUAGGGCAGACUGCCUGGGGAACUUACUUCCCCUGGUAAUUGAUAUGAUCCCAGUUUAUAGCUGCAGGUAUGAUGCAAGUCUGUGCAUGUCUGGAGACUAUGUCUAACCAAGGAUUUUCUUAGUGAAGUAGUAAAACUGAACUCUGUGGAAUUUUGAGAAAUAAUUCGCUCAGCGGCCAGCCACUGACACGUAUAGAGGAGCUUUGUGCAAGCACCAAUUAUCAAAAGGCUGUGCUUUCAUCCACACCAUUAAUUUCUGAAGGCAGAAGAGAGCAUGACUGAUUUUCCUUUUGGAUAUUGCUGAUGUCUCUGCCAACUGACAUUCACUCCUAAGAUUUUACAAACACUAUUUAAUCGUCUCCAAAGACAUAAAUAAGAUGGUAU
ensembl:lncRNA